GGGGAAAUGGUGUAGGGGUUAUCACAUCUGCUUUGCACACUCUCUGUAGAAGGUCCGGGGUUCAAAUCCCCGUUUCUCCA